CCGGAUUUAUUGGGUUUAAAGGGUGCGUAGGCGGCUUUAUAAGUCAGCGGUGAAAUAUUGCAGCUUAACUGUAACAGUGCCGUUGAUACUGUAGAGCUAGGAUUAGGUUGCUGUGGGCGGAAUGUGUGGUGUAGCGGUGAAAUGCUUAGAGAUCACACAGAAUAUCGAUUGCGAAGGCAGCUCACAAAGCCUAAAUUGACGCUGAGGCACGAAAGUGUGGGGAUCGAACGGGAUUAGAUACCCCGGUAGUCCUAGCUGUAAACGAUGGGCACUUGGUGUUGGGGGUAUUGAGUCCCCCGGUGCCGGAGUUAACACGUUAAGUGCCCCGCCUGGGGAGUACGGUCGCAAGACUGAAACUCAGAGGAAUUGACGGGGGCCCGCACAAGCGGUGGAGCAUGUGGUUCAAUUCGACGCAACGCGAAGAACCUUACCGGGGCUUGAACUGUAACUGCUACACUUGGAAACAGGUGGUUCUCUUCGGAGACGGUUAUAGAGGUGCUGCAUGGCUGUCGUCAGCUCGUGUCGUGAGAUGUUGGGUUAAGUCCCGCAACGAGCGCAACCCUUGCCCUUAGUUGCUACCAGGUUAAGCUGAGCACCCUAAGGGUACUGUCGGCGAAAAGCCGGAGGAAGGUGGGGAUGACGUCAAGUCCUCAUGGCCCUUACGUCCCGGGCUACACACGUGCUACAAUGGUCGGUACAAAGGGUCGCCAACCCGCGAGGGGGAGCUAAUCCCAAAAACCCGACCCCAGUUCGGAUUGCAGUCUGCAACUCGACUGCAUGAUGCGGAAUCGCUAGUAAUCGCAGAUCAGC
rnacentral:rRNA from 1 species